GCGCGCAUAGCUCAGUUGGUAGAGCGCCAAGCUUAUACCUUGGUGGUCCUAGGUUCGAGUCCUAGUGCGCGCACCA
rnacentral:tRNA from 1 species